AUUGAACGCUGGCGGCAUGCCUUACACAUGCAAGUCGAACGGCAGCACGGGUGCUUGCACCUGGUGGCGAGUGGCGAACGGGUGAGUAAUACAUCGGAACAUGUCCUGUAGUGGGGGAUAGCCCGGCGAAAGCCGGAUUAAUACCGCAUACGAUCCACGGAUGAAAGCGGGGGACCUUCGGGCCUCGCGCUAUAGGGUUGGCCGAUGGCUGAUUAGCUAGUUGGUGGGGUAAAGGCCUACCAAGGCGACGAUCAGUAGCUGGUCUGAGAGGACGACCAGCCACACUGGGACUGAGACACGGCCCAGACGCCUACGGGAGGCAGCAGUGGGGAAUUUUGGACAAUGGGCGAAAGCCUGAUCCAGCAAUGCCGCGUGUGUGAAGAAGGCCUUCGGGUUGUAAAGCACUUUUGUCCGGAAAGAAAUCCUUGACUCUAAUACAGUCGGGGGAUGACGGUACCGGAAGAAUAAGCACCGGCUAACUACGU
rnacentral:rRNA from 1 species